rnacentral:rRNA from 1 species
UUUGAGAGUUUGAUCCUAGCUCAGGGUGAACGCUGGUAACGUGGAUACCGGCAUGCAAGUCGAGCGAUCCCGCAAGGGAUAGCGGCGAACGGCUUAGUAACACGUAGGUACAAACCUUCAACACAUGUAUAGCCAGCCGAAAGGUUGGGUAAUUCAUGAUAGUCCCGCAAGGGUAAAGGGUGUCCGCAAGGAUUACCGGUUGAAGAUUGGCCUGCGGCCUAUCAGAUAGUUGGCAGGGUAACGGCCUACCAAGUCUAUGACGGGUAGGGGGCGUGAGAGCGCGACCCCCAAGAAUGGGACUGAGAACGGCCCAUACUCCUACGGGAGGCUGCAGUCGAGAAUCUUCCGCAAUGGGCGAAAGCCUGACGGAGCGACGUUACGUGAAUGAAGAAGCCCUUCGGGGUGUAAAGUUCUUUUAUGUGGGAGGAACCCCGCCUUUGGCGGGGAGACAGUACCACAUGAAUAAGGGGAUGCUAAUUCUGUGCCAGCAGCAGCGGUAAGACAGAAUCCUCAAGCGUUACCCGGAUUUAUUGGGCGUAAAGGGUCCGUAGGUGGCAUAGUAAGUUGAAAGUUAAAGUUCAUCGGCUUAACCUUUGAAAUGCUUUCAAUACUGCUAUACUAGAGGGCGUUAGAGGCUAACGGAACCGACGAAGUAGGGGUGGAAUCCGUUGAUAUCGUCGGGAACACCAAAAGCGAAGGCAGUUAGCUGGGACGACCCUGACACUGAGGGACGAAAGCGUGGGGAGAAAAAAGGAUUAGAUACCCUUGUAUUCCACGCUGUAAACGAUGAAUACUGGCUAUUGGUAGUGUCGACCCUGCCAGUGGCGAAGCUAACGCGUUA